AGUGAACGCUGGCGGUAGGCCUAACACAUGCAAGUCGAACGGCAGCACAGUAAGAGCUUGCUCUUACGGGUGGCGAGUGGCGGACGGGUGAGGAAUACAUCGGAAUCUACUUUUUCGUGGGGGAUAACGUAGGGAAACUUACGCUAAUACCGCCUACGACCUACGGGUGAAAGCAGGGGAUCUUCGGACCUUGCGCGAUUGAAUGAGCCGAUGUCGGAUUAGCUAGUUGGCGGGGUAAAGGCCCACCAAGGCGACGAUCCGUAGCUGGUCUGAGAGGAUGAUCAGCCACACUGGAACUGAGACACGGUCCAGACUCCUACGGGAGGCAGCAGUGGGGAAUAUUGGACAAUGGGCGCAAGACUGAUCCAGCCAUACCGCGUGGGUGAAGAAGGCCUUCGGGUUGUAAAGCCCUUUUGUUGGGAAAGAAAAGCAGCAGGUUAAUACCCCGCUGUUCUGACGGUACCCAAAGAAUAAGCACCGGCUAACUUCGUG
rnacentral:rRNA from 1 species